GAUUAGAGUGACAAGAAAAUAAGUAAAUAAAAUCUUCAAUAAGUAAUAUUAUAUUUUAAUCUGGAAGUUGAGAAAAACUAAACAAAUUAGUCAACCAAGAUUCGUCCAACUAUCCUGCAUUUUAAAGUUAAGUUUAUAAUUCUUCAUUUUCUUUUGAAUUAUUUUAGUUUCUACUCCGGUCAUUUUCCUUCAUUUUCUCGGGAACCAAAUAAGAGAGAAAA
rnacentral:misc_RNA from 1 species